rnacentral:tRNA from 1 species
GCCCUGGUAGUAUAGUGGUUAAACAUUUGGCUGCUAACCAAAAGGUUGGUGGUUCGAAUCCAUCGGGUA